CUCUGCUUUAGAACCCUGUGCUAACUAGUGACCUGCCGAACAGGCAAACUGCUUGAGCAAAGGCCUUAUUUUAGAAAUACGGGCUCUUGCCCGAGUGGCCGACUUUCGGUUGUAAGUGAAGCUGAUACCUUGCCUGACUUUAUACUAUGUCUCUAGUGGAAAACUCCCUAAUGAUGAGCACGCUAAUAAAAGGAAUAUUAAAAAUCCCAUGUGGUCGCAAAUAUCAACUUCUAAAGCGCUGAAGUUAUUUACUUUUUGGACUAUCUACUUUCAGGUUAUCAUGAUUAUAGUUUUAAACACGGCA
rnacentral:sRNA from 1 species